GUGUCAGCAGCCGCGGUAAUACCGGCAGCACGAGUGAUGACCGCUAUUAUUGGGUCUAAAGCGUCCGUAGCUGGCCACGCAAGUCUAUCGGGAAAUCCGCGCGCUUAACGCGCGGGCGUCCGGUGGAAACUGCGUGGCUUGGGACCGGAAGACCAGAGGGGUACGUCCGGGGUAGGAGUGAAAUCCCGUAAUCCUGGACGGACCACCGGUGGCGAAAGCGCCUCAGGAGAACGGAUCCGACAGUGAGGGACGAAAGCUAGGGUCUCGAACCGGAUUAGAAACCCCCGUAGUCC
rnacentral:rRNA from 1 species